UAGCGUAGCUUAAUUCAAAAGCGUA
rnacentral:tRNA from 1 species